AGUCACCACUUAUAAGCACAUACCUCAGUUCAGUUUUCACCUGGCCUUGAAUAAGGACAUGGACUCAACUCUCUACGGUACUUUUUAUCUCCCAAUGAAAAACUCUGCCGGCUGACCCAGAAUAUUUGUCUAUACUGUGGGGCAAGUGGGCAUUUAAUUGCUGUCUCUUCCAUCCGUCCAUCACAUUCAAUGGUUCUGCCCUCCGACUCUGGGUCAGCCGGCAACUUCAUCUCUGGAAGUCUCUGCAGGCAACUCCAACUCCAGAAAGUCACAACUAAAACCCAGUACAAGAUACAGUCAGUGACUGGUAGAGCCCUAGGCAGAGGUUACAUCUGCUAUCAAGUAAAACCUGUGAUCCUAAGAGUGGACUGCAUGCAUGAAGAAUCUUUUGCAUCUCUGGUGCAAAAAGCACCUCAUGGCUCAUACAUCAACCGGUGCUAUCCUGGAGAACAGGUGAUGUUCUGCAAUGGGGCCAAUGCUGCUUCCCUGAUUGUUUUCUUCAAUUCCCUCGAUCUCUUCCAAGACAACUUCCAGUAAUUCCAAUAAAUUCCACCUCUACUGAGAGCCCUAUCUCUCUGUGGAUAUCCUAGCUUGCUACACCCCCUUUGCAGACUUCUUUUGCCCAAAAUGAGCCUCCAAAUUACUACCGCAUUGUCCAUGGCACUUUGCCAUUGACCUGGUAAGCCAGUGCCCCAUGGAUGAUGCCACUCUCCAUCCCAGAACAGACGGUGAUGGAGGACUAUUUAUAGGAGUGUUUAUAUGCUAGGGUUGAUGAGUGUGGUGAUUGCUGACAGGUGGCAGUGAUCAAUACUCUGGUGAAUGAGUUUGGAGUAAGGGAGAGACUGUGGAGCCUGGUGAAUCUGUGACCAUGUGAUUCGUAUUCAUUUCAACUUUUUUUUUUUUUUUUUUUUUUUUUUUUUUUAAACUCAUUUAAAAUUCUUAAUUUAUAAUAUGAAUAUAUCAGGAAUAUUAAAUUCAAUUUGAUGGAAUUUUACUAUACAAUUGACAUAUGUAAAUCUUAAGUCUCAUAUUUUUUUUUUUUUUGAGUGUACUAAGUGUUGCAGCUAUUAAAUAUGUAUAAUAAGUUUUAUUAUAUAAAAAAAAAAUAUAUAUAUAUAUAUAUAUAUAUAUAUAUAUAUAUAUAUAUGUAUAUGUAUGUGUGUGUGUGUCUUGGGUCAAAUUAAUCUUGAAAUUAAGUGGUUGCACUGUGUGUUCAUUUCACCUAUAGCUUUCAGUUGUAGAUGUGUGGGUGGACAGCUUCGUUCAAACCAGUCAGCCAUGUUAUUGUUUUGUGUCAUUGUAUUUUCCAGCUGUUGUCAGCUGCUUCUUAUUGAGGACAGAGUGAUUAGCAUUCUGUCAGUUAUCAGACAUGCCAGUGCACCACAGGAGUCACAAGCAAACAAUUAUAUUGCCUGCACCCCUCCACGUAACAGAUCCUUUCAUUCUGGUGGUUCACUGGCGUCCUCUGCUACUGAGAUGAGUGAAGAGGAUUCAAAGAGUGUGACAGCUCAGUGUCUGUUAUCACACUGGCCACACAUGCUGCUGCGUGUAGAAUGACAAGGUCUCGGCCCCUGUUACGUCAGUGCCAGAGACUUUGUUGUCUUUGGCAGAGGUGUGGGAGUGAUUAAUGUCUUCUCUUCAAUCAAUGGACAACUUGGACCAACACAGUCUCUUAGUCCAACCAUUUCCAAGAAGGGAUUUCAGAUUUUCUGUAUUAGAUAUUACAUUAUACAUCAAAUAGUU